AUUGAACGCUGGCGGAAUGCUUUACACAUGCGAGUCGAACGGCAGCACGGACUUCGGUCUGGUGGCGAGUGGCGAACGGGUGAGUAAUGUAUCGGAACGUGCCCAGUCGUGGGGGAUAACGUAGUGAAAAUUACGCUAAUACCGCAUACGAUCUAUGGAUGAAAGCGGGGGAUCGCAAGACCUCGCGCGAUUGUCGCGGCCGAUAUCAGAUUAGGGAGUUGGUGGGGGAAAGGCCCACCUAGCCAACGAUCUGUAGCUGGUCUGAGAGGACGACCAGCCACACUUGAACUGAGACACGGUCCAGACUCCUACGGGAGGCAGCAGUGGGGAAUUUUGGACAAUGGGCGAAAGCCUGAUCCAGCCAUUCCGCGUGCAGGAUGAAGGCCCUCGGGUUGUAAACUGCUUUUGUACAGAACGAAAAGGUUUCUACUAAUACUAGGAGCUCAUGACGGUACUGUAAGAAUAAGCACCGGCUAACUACGUGCCAGCCGCCGCGGUAA
rnacentral:rRNA from 1 species